UACGUAGGGUGCGAGCGUUAAUCGGAAUUACUGGGCGUAAAGCGUGCGUAGGCGGCGAUGCAAGACAGAUGUGAAAUCCCCGGGCUUAACCUGGGAACUGCAUUUGUGACUGCAUGGCUAGAGUGUGUCAGAGGGAGGUGGAAUUCCGCGUGUAGCAGUGAAAUGCGUAGAGAUGCGGAGGAACACCGAUGGCGAAGGCAGCCUCCUGGGGAUAACACUGACGCUCAGGCACGAAAAGCGUGGGGAGCAAACAGGG
rnacentral:rRNA from 1 species